UUUAUUUAUGUAGAUGAACUUUACUUAAAUUAUAUGGAUUAAUUCUAUUUAUAUAGAUGAAUUUUACCUAAAGUAUAUAAUUAAUUUUAUUUAUUUAACAAAUGUAGGGAUUGCUUCAAUAUAGAUAUAGAUUAAUUUUGCUUAUAUUAUAUAGAUUAACUUAAUUUCUAGAUUAAUUUUGUUUAUUUAUUUAGCAAGCGUGAGGAUUAAAUCAAAAAAAGUAAUCUGGAUAAUUAAGAAGCAUGGGGGUCUUUUCAGUGCUCAGGAGCAGGAGUCUUGGGCAUUGUGAGAUGCUGCAAAAUCCUUUUUGUUUAUUGUAUUUCCAUUUCAUUUCUCUGUGCAUCCUUGGGCUGUUUGAGUCCAGGCCUGUGUGUGCGGGUGGAUGCUGUCAGUGCUUUCAGUUUGGCUUUUAACGCAGCGAGGUGUGCAUGCUGUCAGUGCAGCAAGGUGUGGAUGCUGUCAGUGGUUUAAAUUUCAUUUUUAAUGCAGCAAGGUGUGGAUGCUGUCAGUGGUUUAAAUUUCAUUUUUAAUGCAGCAAGGUGUGCAUGCUG